rnacentral:rRNA from 1 species
UUUCCUAGAGAUGGAUUGGUGCUUCGGGAACGUCUGAGACAGGUGCUGCAUGGCUGUCGUCAGCUCGUGUUGUGAAAUGUUGGGUUAAGUCCCGCAACGAGCGCAACCCUUAUCCUUUGUUGCCAGCGGUCCGGCCGGGAAACUCAAAGGAGACUGCCAGUGAUAAACUGGAGGAAGGUGGGGAUGACGUCAAGUCAUCAUGGCCCUUACGAGUAGGGCUACACACGUGCUACAAUGGCGCAUACAAAGAGAAGCGACCUCGCGAGAGCAAGCGGACCUCAUAAAGUGCGUCGUAGUCCGGAUUGGAGUCUGCAACUCGACUCCAUGAAGUCGGAAUCGCUAGUAAUCGUGGAUCAGAAUGCCACGGUGAAUACGUUCCCGGGCCUUGUACACACCGCCCGUCACACCAUGGGAGUGGGUUGCAAAAGAAGUAGGUAGCUUAACCUUCGGGAGGGCGCUUACCACUUUGUGAUUCAUGACUGGGGUGAAGUCGUAACAAGGUAAGCGUAGUGCU